UCUAAAGUCUGAUCUGCCCAAUGAUUAAUUAAAUGGCCGCAGUAAUUUGACUGUGCAAAGGUAGCAUAAUCAUUAGUUUUUUAAUUGGAAGCUAGAAUGAAUGGUUGGACGAGAAAAAUACUGUCUCAAUUUAAUUUAAAUUAGAAUUUUAUUUUUAAGUAAAAAAGCUUAAAUAAAUUUAAAAGACGAGAAGACCCUAUAGAGUUUUAUAGUUGAUUUAAUAUAAUUUUUAAGGUAAGUUAAAUAAUUUUAUAGAAUUAAUUAUUUGAUUGGGGUGAUUAGGAAAUUGAAUUAACUUUUUUUAUAUUUUUCAUAUUUAUAUGAUUAAAUGAUCCAUUAUUAAUGAUUAAAAGAUUAAAUUACCUUAGGGAUAACAGCGUAAUUUUUUUAAAGAGUUCUUAUUAAUAAAAGAGUUUGCGACCUCGAUGUUGGAUUAAAAUAAAUUUUUGGUGCAGUAGCUAAAAAAUAGGGUCUGUUCGACCCUUAAAAUUUUACAUGAUCUGAGUUUAGACCGGCGUGAGCCAGGUUGGUUUCUAUCUUUAAAUUAAAAAUAUACUUUAGUACGAAAGGAUUAGGUGUAGAUAAUAAUUAUUUGAUAUUGAAUAGUCAUA
rnacentral:rRNA from 1 species